rnacentral:lncRNA from 1 species
AUAUUCUCCGUCCAUGGGAUUCUCGGUGAGAUGAUCUGCCAAGGCUUGUACUUUGAUUGCCUUCUGAGUCACGUAAACAAUGUCAAAUUCAUUUAGCAGUGGGCAUGGACUUCUGGAAUAUAUACUUCAGUGGAUCCAUUCUUGAUGUGAAAUAAGUGGUAUAAGCACAGAAAUAAUGCCUCAACUUCUGAGCUACCCAAGUCAAAGCACAACAGGUGCGCUCUAAUAGAGAAUACCGGGCCUUGUACGGGGUGAACUUCUUGCUGAUAUAGUAGUUGGCUUGCUCAUUUCUCC